UUCCGUAGGGUGAACCUGCGGAGGGAUCAUUACCGAGUUUUCAACUCAUCAACCCCUGUGAACUUUUUACCCAACGUUGCUUCGGCGGGAACAGAUGGCCCUGUGAAAACGGGGCCACCCCCGCCAGAGGACCCCCUAACUCUGUUUUUUUUUUAUGUUUUUCUGAGUAAAACAAGCAAAUAUCAAAACUUUCAACAACGGAUCUCUUGGCUCUGGCAUCGAUGAAGAACGCAGCGAAAUGCGAUAAGUAAUGUGAAUUGCAGAAUUCAGUGAAUCAUCGAAUCUUUGAACGCACAUUGCGCCCGCCAGUAUUCUGGCGGGCAUGCCUGUUCGAGCGUCAUUACAACCCUCAGGCCCCCGGGCCUGGCGUUGGGGAUCGGCGGAGGCCCUCUGUGGCACACGCCGUCCCCCAAAUACAGUGGCGGUCCCGCCGCAGCUUCCAAUGCGUAGUACCUAACGACGCAACUGGAGAGCGGCGCGGCCACGCCGUAAAACACCCCCAACUUUAUGAACGUUGACCUCGAAUCAGGUAGGAAUACCCGCUGAACUUAAGCAUAUCAAUAAGCGGAGGAA
rnacentral:rRNA from 1 species